rnacentral:rRNA from 1 species
AUUGAACGCUGGCGGCAUGCCUUACACAUGCAAGUCGAACGGCAGCACGGGUGCUUGCACCUGGUGGCGAGUGGCGAACGGGUGAGUAAUAUAUCGGAACGUACCUUAUUGUGGGGAAUAACGCAGCGAAAGCUGUGCUAAUACCGCAUAAUCCCUAAGGGGGAAAGCGGGGGACCGUAAGGCCUCGCGCAAUUAGAGCGGCCGAUACCUGAUUAGCUAGUUGGUGAGGUAAAGGCUCACCAAGGCAACGAUCAGUAGCUGGUCUGAGAGGACGAUCAGCCACACUGGGACUAAGACACGGCCCAGACUCCUACGGGAGGCAGCAGUGGGGAAUUUUGGACAAUGGGGGCAACCCUGAUCCAGCAAUGCCGCGUGAGUGAAGAAGGCCUUCGGGUUGUAAAGCUCUUUUGUCAGGGAAGAAACAGCAGCUCUAACACAGUAUGCGAAUGACGGUACCUGAAGAAUAAGCACCGGCUAACUACGUGCCAGCAGCCGCGGUAA